GACGUAGGGCGCGAGCGUUGUCCGGAUUUAUUGGGCGUAAAAGAGCUCGUAGGCGGUUUGUCGCGUCGGGAGUGAAAACCUCGGGCUUAACUCGGGGCUUGCUUUCGAUACGGGCAGACUGGAGGUAUGCAGGGGAGAACGGAAUUCCUGGUGUAGCGGUGAAAUGCGCAGAUAUCAGGAGGAACACCGGUGGCGAAGGCGACUCACUGGCCCGAUACUGACGCUGAGGCGCGAAAGCGUGGGGAGCAAACAGG
rnacentral:rRNA from 1 species